CACCAGUGAAAGAGGGGAAGUUGCUACUGUGAUGAAUUCUGCCAUGUGGUACCAGACUGCUGCCCAGACCACAGUGUCCUCUGCAACCCUGGUAACUCACAUACAGGCCUGAUUCCACCUACAGCAAAGCUGGAUGCUAUGGUUGGCAGAGGCAAGCCCCUUGCCUGCACUUCAGGCCAAAGCCGGGAUGUGGCCUAGAUGGUUCCUAAGGUCCCUGACAGUCCUGAGAUCUUUCAUCUUGUCUAUUUCAGGUCAAAGGUGCCUACAUGUUCCUUCUAGCUUUGUUUCCCUGAUGUUCCUUGCCACCUGCUACUCCUCUCUGAGCUACUUUUCCAGGUUCCACAGGGAGAGGUUCAGCUGUCCAUGGUAGACAUGAGGGUAGAGAAUGAGAUGGUUGGGUUCCACUUACCUUUCUAUCAUCUUGCAGUAUGGAUGUCUCUUGACUGGUACCAUGUAGACUUUUGAGGGCAGACAGGAGUCUGCAGAGAGAUACUGGGGAUAUUGAGCAGCAGCAAUGGGGUUGGGAGGCAGAAAUGAGGACAGGAACAUUUACCUUGUGUUUCUCUCAGCUUCUCAGAUGACCAAGAUGGUGCUGCCGAUGGUGUUGAGGACGGAGAACCCACCAAGCCCCGUUAGGAGCCACCUAGACUGGAUGCAGAGCACAAGAAGGCUUCUACUGACUCGAGCCCCUUUAAAGGAUUCAGAACAAAGGGGCCAUUCACCCCUUCUGGGGUGCUCUGUUUUCUUUGUGGAGUUUCAAGAGUGAUGGGCGGAUUCUUCCUAGAUCUAAAGCUCUGUCUUCCUGUAUGGCAUGACCUGACCACUUUGGCUUUGGGGGAACCAGAGAUGACCCUACACUGUGAGAGGAUUUGACCUUGGCGUGUGUAAUGGCAGAUGAGAACUACAAAGAAAGGGUGGCUGAGCACAGUUUACAGGGAAUGGUCUUGGCUGGGUUUUUUUUUUUUCUCUUCUAGGAAGCUGUGAUUUAAGGAUCCUAAUUCUAGUUCAGAGAUGCAUCCUAAAGGGUCUUCUCUAUUGCUUUUUCUCCCAAAAUCAAUCUCC
rnacentral:lncRNA from 1 species